CAGCAGCCGCGGUAAUACGAAGGGUGCAAGCGUUAAUCGGAAUUACUGGGCGUAAAGCGUGCGUAGGCGGUGAGUUGAGUCUGCUGUGAAAUCCCCGGGCUCAACCUGGGAAUGGCAAUGGAUACUGGCAAGCUAGAGUGUGUCAGAGGAUGGUGGAAUUCCCGGUGUAGCGGUGAAAUGCGUAGAGAUCGGGAGGAACAUCAGUGGCGGAGGCAGCCAUCUGGGACAACACUGACGCUGAGGCACGAAAGCGUGGGGAGCGAACAGGAUUAGAUACCCCCGUAGUCCCUGUCUCUUAUAC
rnacentral:rRNA from 1 species